GACGAACGCUGGCGGCGUGCUUAACACAUGCGAGUCGAACGGAAGGGCCCUGCUUUUGUGGGGUGCUCGAGUGGCGAACGGGUGAGUAACACGUGAGUAACCUGCCCUUGACUUUGGGAUAACUUCAGGAAACUGGGGCUAAUACCGGAUAGGAGCUCCUGCUGCAGGGUGGGGGUGGGAAAGUUUCGGCGGUUGGGGGUGGACUCGCGGCUUAUCAGCUUGUUGGUGGGGUAGUGGCUUACCAAGGCUUUGACGGGUAGCCGGCCUGAGAGGGUGGCCGGCCACAUUGGGACUGAGAUACGGCCCAGACUCCUACGGGAGGCAGCAGUGGGGAAUAUUGCACAAUGGGCGGAAGCCUGAUGCAGCAACGCCGCGUGCGGGAUGACGGCCUUCGGGUUGUAAACCGCUUUCGCCUGUGACGAAGCGUGAGUGACGGUAAUGGGUAAAGAAGCACCGGCUAACUACGUG
rnacentral:rRNA from 1 species